CAGAGUUUACAACUCCCAAACCCCUGUGAACAUACCAUUAGUUGCCUCGGCGGUGUCCUGACUUAAAAAACCAGGCCCGCCAGAGGACCCAACAAACUCUUGUUUUUUAAGUAUUAUCUGAGUAACAAGUUUAAUAAAUCA
rnacentral:misc_RNA from 1 species